AUUGAACGCUGGCGGCAUGCCUUACACAUGCAAGUCGAACGGUAACAGGUUAAGCUGACGAGUGGCGAACGGGUGAGUAUGUAUCGGAACGUGCCCAGUCGUGGGGGAUAACUACUCGAAAGAGUGGCUAAUACCGCAUACGACCUGAGGGUGAAGGCGGGGGACCGUAAGGCCUCGCGCGAUUGGAGCGGCCGAUAUCAGAUUAGCUAGUUGGUGGGGUAAAAGCCCACCAAGGCGACGAUCUGUAGCUGGUCUGAGAGGACGACCAGCCACACUGGGACUGAGACACGGCCCAGACUCCUACGGGAGGCAGCAGUGGGGAAUUUUGGACAAUGGACGCAAGUCUGAUCCAGCCAUGCCGCGUGCGGGAAGAAGGCCUUCGGGUUGUAAACCGCUUUUGUCAGGGAAGAAACGAGUUUCUCUAAUACAGAGACUUAAUGACGGUACCUGAAGAAUAAGCACCGGCUAACUACGUGCCAGCCGCCGCGGUAACAC
rnacentral:rRNA from 1 species